GAUAAAAUAGCUCAGUGGUAGAGUCUCUGCUUUUUAUGCAAAAGGUCCCAGGUUCAAACCUUUGGCAUUUUAUUG